GAUGAACGCUGGCGGCGUGCCUAAUACAUGCAAGUCGAGCGAACAGACGGGGAGCUUGCUCCUCUGACGUUAGCGGCGGACGGGUGAGUAACACGUGGAUAACCUACCUAUAAGACUGGGAUAACUUCGGGAAACCGGAGCUAAUACCGGAUAAUAUAUUGAACCGCAUGGUUCAAUAGUGAAAGACGGUUUUGCUGUCACUUAUAGAUGGAUCCGCGCCGCAUUAGCUAGUUGGUAAGGUAACGGCUUACCAAGGCAACGAUGCGUAGCCGACCUGAGAGGGUGAUCGGCCACACUGGAACUGAGACACGGUCCAGACUCCUACGGGAGGCAGCAGUAGGGAAUCUUCCGCAAUGGGCGAAAGCCUGACGGAGCAACGCCGCGUGAGUGAUGAAGGUCUUCGGAUCGUAAAACUCUGUUAUUAGGGAAGAACAAAUGUGUAAGUAACUAUGCACGUCUUGACGGUACCGAAUCAGAAAGCCACGGCUAACUACGU
rnacentral:rRNA from 1 species